AUGGUGGAAGCUCUUAUUUGUGGGCAAGAUUGGAUGCGUACCUCUCAUACUUGUAUUACUAUUGAGGAGAGUUUGCUAGAGUUGGAGAAAAUGGAAGAAGGUAUGCAAGAAUUGGUUUCGGAACAACCAACUAUUAUAAUUGACGAAACGAUUGAAGAAGCUUCGGAUAUCACAGAUUUCACAAUGGACGACAUACUUGAAUGAGUUUUGUUGAUUAAUGACUUUGUAAACUUUUGGGAUUUCUGCCUGUGUGCAGUGUAGUGUAGUAAACUUCUGUGAACUUUAGUUUUUGUUAAGUGUUGUGCUUGCUUGUCUGCUUGUGCAUGUGUGGCUGUGUGCACAGUUGCACACUAUCUUAGUAUAUGUUACUGUCUACUGCUGCCUGCUGUGUGUGCUACUGGCCUACUGCCUACUGCAGUACUUCUGCUUGAUGCUGGUCAAUCUACUGUGUUUGUAAUGCUGCUGGGCCUGCUGGCUGUAAAUCUGUAAUGUUGCAUUGCUGCAAUGCUGCCUGCUGUAAGUCUGUAACUACUGCUGCAGUGCUGCCUGAGUGCUUGCUAGUCUGCUUAAUGCAGAUGCACUAAAUGUACAAGCCUACAGGGUGGAUCAUCUUUGGCUCUUUGCUCAUUUGCUGUAGAUUUGUAGUGCUGAUUGCUGACUGCAUUUAUAUGAAUUGUUGCUAUGAAUUUUUAUUUUUAAUUAUUUUGGAUUUUA